rnacentral:lncRNA from 1 species
UUAAAACAUUCUACUUUAUAAUAGAAAAUUUUUCAAAUUUAAAAAUAAUAUUGAACAGUUUAUAUUACAGUACAUGCUCAUAGGAGAAAAAUUUUAAAUCUAAGAAGAAGUAUAAUGAAUAGGUCAUCUGACAGAUCUGAGUACUUUGAUCAGAAAAUUUGCACUGAAUGAUCACUUAAUACAGCAUUUCUGAAAUCAAGAACUUAGAUUAUGCCUUUUUUUUCCACAAGAAUACAGUAAUAACAAGCUGAUUACAUACAAGGAUGCUCCCUAACAUAUUUAUUCAUAUAAUGACUGUAAUUUAUCUAAAACAGGUUAGUAUUCAAAAACUUAGUAAAAAUGU